rnacentral:rRNA from 1 species
GAUGAACGCUGGCGGCGUGCCUAAUACAUGCAAGUCGAGCGAACAGAUAAGGAGCUUGCUCCUUUGACGUUAGCGGCGGACGGGUGAGUAACACGUGGGUAACCUACCUAUAAGACUGGAAUAACUCCGGGAAACCGGGGCUAAUGCCGGAUAACAUUUAGAACCGCAUGGUUCUAAAGUGAAAGAUGGCUUUGCUAUCACUUAUAGAUGGACCCGCGCCGUAUUAGCUAGUUGGUAAGGUAACGGCUUACCAAGGCAACGAUACGUAGCCGACCUGAGAGGUGGUUCGGCCAAACUGGAACAGAAACACGGUCCAAACUCCUACGGGAGGCAGCAGUAGGGAAUCUUCCGCAAUGGGCGAAAGCCUGACGGGGCGACGGCGCGUGAGUGAUGAAGGUCUUCGGAUCGUAAAACUCUGUUAGUAGGGAAGAACAAAUGUGUAAGUAACUGUGCACGUCUUGACGGUACCUAAUCAGAAAGCCACGGCUAACUACGUG